GAUUAACGCUAGCGGCAGGCCUAAUACAUGCAAGUCGAACGGUAACAGGUGUAGCAAUACAUGCUGACGAGUGGCGCACGGGUGCGUAACGCGUAUGCAACCUACCUAUAACUGGGGAAUAGCCUUCUGAAAGGAAGAUUAACACCGCAUAACAUCAUGAAACGGCAUCGUUUUAUGAUCAAAUCUCCGGAGGUUAUAGAUGGGCAUGCGUGACAUUAGCUAGUUGGUGAGGUAACGGCUCACGAAGGCUACGAUGUCUAGGGGGUCUGAGAGGAUGAUCCCCCACACUGGUACUGAGACACGGACCAGACUCCUACGGGAGGCAGCAGUAAGGAAUAUUGGACAAUGGGCGCAAGCCUGAUCCAGCCAUGCCGCGUGAAGGAUGACGGCCCUCUGGGUUGUAAACUUCUUUUAUAUGGGAAUAAACCCUCUGAUUCUUCAGAGGCUGAAUGUACCGUAAGAAUAAGGAUCGGCUAACUUCGUGCCAGCAGCCGCGGUAAUAC
rnacentral:rRNA from 1 species